AUUGAACGCUGGCGGCAGGCCUAACACAUGCAAGUCGAGCGGAUGACGGGAGCUUGCUCCUUGAUUCAGCGGCGGACGGGUGAGUAAUGCCUAGGAAUCUGCCUGGUAGUGGGGGACAACAUCUCGAAAGGGAUGCUAAUACCGCAUGCGUCCUAAGAGAGAAAGCAGGGGAUCACUUGUGACCUUGCGCUAAUAGAUGAGCCUAAGUCGGAUUAGCUAGUUGGUGGGGUAAAGGCCUACCAAGGCGACGAUCUGUAGCGGGUCGGAGAGGAUGAUCCGCCACACUGGGACUGGGACACGGUCCAGACUCCUACGGGAGGCAGCAGUGGGGAAUAUUGGACAAUGGGCGAAAGCCUGAUCCAGCCAUGCCGCGUGUGUGAAGAAGGUCUUCGGAUUGUAAAGCACUUUAAGUUGGGAGGAAGGGUAUUCACCUAAUACGUGGGUACUUUGACGUUACCAACAGAAUAAGCACCGGCUAACUCUGUGCCAGCAGCCGCCGUAAUAC
rnacentral:rRNA from 1 species